ensembl:misc_RNA 7SK 7SK RNA
GGAUGUGAGGGCGAUCUGGCUGUGACAUCUGUCACCCCAUUGAUCGCCAGGGUUGAUUCAGCUGAUCUGGCUGGCUAGGCGGGUGUCCCCUUCCUCCCUCACCGCUCCAUGUGCAUUCCUCCCGAAGCUGUGCGCUCGGUCGAAGAGGACGACCUUCCCCGCUAGAGGAGGACCGUUCUUCGGUCAAGGGUAUACGAGUAGCUGCGCUCCCCUGCUAGAACCUCCAAACAAGCUCUCAAGACUCUCCCUCUCCCUCUCCCUCUGCCCGCCCCCAUCCCCAGAAAUAAAUAAAUUAAUUGAUUAAUUAAAAUAAUCUAAAAUUAUUAUAUUAAUUGGAUUAUAUAGUAUGU